GCUGCAAGACUUAAGAUAAAUGAAGAAUUCAAAAGUAAUAAAGAUGAGACUUCUCCUGAAAAAAUAGCUGAGCUUAUAAAAUUAGCUUCAGAUGUGGAAGUUAUACUUAAAACAUGUGUCCUACAAGGUGUUUAUGUGGAUGCCAACAAAAUAAAGCUUUUACCAAGAAAGGAGGUACUACGAGACAAUGCCCCAUACUGUGACACACCGAAGCAAAAGACAUGAAUAGAAUAUUUUUUUUAAUUAAUUAACAAUGUUAUUUAAUUUCUUUUAAAAUAAAAUUGCUUUCCUAUAAUAGUGACCUAAAUAAAAUGUUCAACAUGAAAAAUGUCAA